CCUACGGGUGGCUGCAGUGGGGAAUAUUGCGCAAUGGGCGAAAGCCUGACGCAGCGACGCCGCGUGAGGGAUGAAGGUCUUCGGAUCGUAAACCUCUGUCAGCAGGGAAGAACGGUCACUGUGCUAAUCAGCAGUGAAUUGACGGUACCUGCAAAGGAAGCACCGGCUAACUCCGUGCCAGCAGCCGCGGUAAUACGGAGGGGUCGAGCGUUAAUCGGAAUUACUGGGCGUAAAGCGCUCGUAGGCGGUAUGUCAAGUCAAGGGUGAAAUCCCCGGCCUAAACGUGGGAACUGCCUUUGGAACUGGCAAACUGGAGUGUGUGAGGGGAUAGUGAAAUUCCAGGUGUAGGGGUGAAUUCCG
rnacentral:rRNA from 1 species